rnacentral:rRNA from 1 species
AGUGGACGCUGGCGGUAGGCCUAACACAUGCAAGUCGAACGGCAGCACAGUAAGAGCUUGCUCUUACGGGUGGCGAGUGGCGGACGGGUGAGGAAUACAUCGGAAUCUACUUAUUCGUGGGGGAUAACGUAGGGAAACUUACGCUAAUACCGCAUACGACCUACGGGUGAAAGCAGGGGAUCUUCGGACCUUGCGCGAUUGAAUGAGCCGAUGUCGGAUUAGCUAGUUGGCGGGGUAAAGGCCCACCAAGGCGACGAUCCGUAGCUGGUCUGAGAGGAUGAUCAGCCACACUGGAACUGAGACACGGUCCAGACUCCUACGGGAGGCAGCAGUGGGGAAUAUUGGACAAUGGGCGCAAGCCUGAUCCAGCCAUACCGCGUGGGUGAAGAAGGCCUUCGGGUUGUAAAGCCCUUUUGUUGGGAAAGAAAAGCAGCAGGUUAAUACCCCGCUGUUCUGACGGUACCCAAAGAAUAAGCACCGGCUAACUUCGUG